AUGCAGCUCUGGCAGAAGGACGUGAUGUACGCCGGCGGCGUCAAGGACGAGGCCGGUAACCCGGCGUUCGCUCUCGUCAACAAGGCCACCGGAGACGCGCUGAAGCACUCCCUCGGCUACAAUCUGCCCGUCAGAGCCAUCCGGUUCAACCGGGGGUACCUCGACGAGUCGGUCCUGUGGGCGGAGACCGGGGACGUGGGCGGAGGCUACCGGCUAAUCCACAUGGUAAAUAACAUGGAUUACAUAUUUGACGCAGAGAAGGCGACCCCGCAGUUCGGCGGCGCGCGCGACGGCACGCGGCUCAUCCUCUUCCGCUGGAACCGCGGCCACAACCAGCUCUGGCGGAUCUCCGACGCGCUGGCUGGCCGCGGACCGCCGCAUCCAAACAUACAUGAGCUGAGCCUCACCGUCCGCAACGGCGCCGCCGUCCUCGCGCGCACGGAUCUGGAGGAUGACAAACAAGCUUGGAUCCAGAGCUUCCGGAACACCGGGCGAGUGACGGACUCGGAGGGGCGCAGCUCGUUCGCGCUGGUCAAUAAGGCCACCGGGAAGGUGCUGUGGCGCUCCCACGGCGACCAGAAGCUUCAGGUGGUCAGCUACUGCCCGGACUCGGUGGACGUUGCCCUGCUGUGGACGCGGGGCGGCGACCUUGGAGAAGGGUUCCACUGCAUCCACAGCGUCAGCGACCUUGGGUACGUCCUCGACGCUGCGGAGGGCGGGGCGCACGACGGGACGCCCGUCAUCUUGUUCGAGGCCAACGGCGGCCCGAACCAGAAGUGGAAGAUGAUGCCCUUUCAUUGA
rnacentral:rRNA from 1 species